rnacentral:rRNA from 1 species
GAUGAACGCUGGCGGCGUGCCUAAUACAUGCAAGUCGAGCGAACAGACGAGGAGCUUGCUCCUCUGACGUUAGCGGCGGACGGGUGAGUAACACGUGGAUAACCUACCUAUAAGACUGGGAUAACUUCGGGAAACCGGAGCUAAUACCGGAUAAUAUAUUGAACCGCAUGGUUCAAUAGUGAAAGACGGUUUUGCUGUCACUUAUAGCUGGCUCCGCGCCGCAUUAGCUAAUUGGUAAGGUAACGGCUUACCAAGGCAACGAUGCGUAGCCGACCUGAGAGGGUGAUCGGCCACACUGGAACUGAGACACGGUCCAGACUCCUACGGGAGGCAGCAGUAGGGAAUCUUCCGCAAUGGGCGAAAGCUUGACGGAGCAACGCCGCGUGAGUGAUGAAGGUCUUAGGAUCGUAAAACUCUGUUAUUAGGGAAGAACAAAUGUGUAAGUAACUAUGCACGUCUUGACGGUACCUAAUCAGAAAGCCACGGCUAACUACGUG